rnacentral:lncRNA from 1 species
AAGAGGACCCUCAGACGCCACACGGGGCUCGGUGGCAGGUCCCUCCCGAGGCCCUGCUUCCAAGGGAAUCGCAGAGAUACACAGGUGCCACCGGGGCUCGGCAGAACUGGGGUCUGCAGCUCCUUCCAGAAAGCACUUUGUAGGCAGCUGCUGUCUUCUCAAAGCUGCAUCUGGCCGCCCCUCCCACAGGGACACUGGGAGUGGUGGGGCCGCUGCAGCUGUCACUGAGUGCAGGGCGUGGAGCAUGAACCCUGGCGCCAGGCCAGCCUGGGCUAGGAUCCACCCUCUGUGGGCAGGCACCUGCAUCCCUGAGCCCAGGCCCCAGUCUGUCUAAUGGGGCAGCAGUGCCUUCCACGAUAGGUCGGCGGGAGAAUGGAGUGGAUGCUGCGCCGAAGCUGCCCGCAGGGGACACUCGGUGGAGACCUGGCCCGCAGUCAGGAGGAGCUCGCCCAGCCCGGCCCGGCACAUGCCCCGCCUUCCCGGCCUCCACAGCCAGUUCACCUCGGGCAGCCCACCCGCACCUACCACCCUGUUUGCCACUGGAGGGCUCUGAGGGCCGUGAUUCAAGGCAUCAUGAAUGACAAAGGGCUGGAGGGCUGCUGGGUGUGGCUCUCAGAGGUGACAGCACACUCAGGACUGGGUGUCCAGGGUGACUCUUCUAAGUGAUUGUUAGACCGUGUGAAAGGUAAACAAACAGGCUCAUGUCCUUCCACUAAGCAGAUCCUUAGUGGGAACCAUGUACUCAUCCACAUCCACCCACAGGGUGUGUGUGUCACCGAGCAGCUUGCAGGGCAGUUACUCCAGAGCCUCAUGGCGCUCCUUGCAGUCCCUGGGGUGUACUGAAUCAUAGGCUUUCUUGGCCUCUCAGAGGCACUUUUAAUAAUAGUCCACACACUAGGCCAUUUUGGAAGGAGAACCCCCAACCCCUUCCCUGGGCAGUUCAGGUGCCUCUGCUCUGUCCUCGGCCCCCUGCAGCCCAUUAACAAGCCUGGUCCGAAGCGUCACUUGUCGCGUGACUCUGCUGUUGGACAUCAGCCAAGAGAAGCCAUGGGGGCUCUCAGGGGAAGUCACAUCAUCAAGCAACUGAAGAACAAUCAACGUGUGUGCCAAGCACUCCUACCCUCAAGCAGUGAGAGCGAUCAGAUGGUGGAGGAGACAAGGAGAAAGACAUUUGCUAGGCCAAGAUUGUUUUAUUUGCACCUCUAGCAAGAAGAAAAAAGCACUCCCUUUUCUAGGAGCUUCCCAACUCAGAACUUCCCAUUCACUUUAUUUUAUUUUUUGAGACAGAGUCUCACUCUGUCGCACAGGCUGGAGUGCAAUGGCACGAUCUCCUCUCACUGCAACCUCCGCCUCCCGGGUUCAAGCAAUUUUCCCACCUCAGCCUCCUGAGUACCUGGGAUUACAGGCACCUGCCAUCAUGCCCAGCUAAUUUUUGUAGAGAUAGGGUUUUACCAUGUUGGCCAGGCUGGUAUUGAACUCCUGACCUCAGGUGAUCCUCCUGCCUCAGCCUCCCAAAGUGUUGGGAUUACAGGCGUGAGCCAUUGCGCCCAGCCCCAUUCACUUUAAAGUUUUCUUUGUCUGUGGUUUAAAACACUAAAUCUCAUCCCCUCCCCUCACUUAUGGCCCAUGACAUUGCCACAGGACCUCCCACUGACUAUCGGGGAGAGAACAGCACCGCCAGCUCUGGCCAGACUCCAGGCUCUGGCAGCAGAAUGUCCGUGGCCCAUCUUGGUUGUGGACCCGUUUUGUAAUAAAAUUUGCCCCGCAGGGAAAGGACUCGUGUUUUUUGUUUUUGUGUGUUACCGUGUGGCAUAGUAUAAAGUUGGAACUGGGAAAUGUAGUUAUUGAAUGAAGGAGAGUUGGUUUGUUUCCAGAAAGAAGCAUCAACCUACAAGCCAAGAGGAGAACGAGAUCCUAUUGAGAGGCGGCAGAUCCCCGGACGAACGCCCCCUGCAGCCCGCAACAAAGGCACUAGGGAGGAAGCGUGCGAAGGAGACGUCCACACAGCACGUCCGCUCAGCUUUCCCAGGGCCCAGGAGAAGAAAGAAGGGAGAAAAGAACGGGAGGAAGAACAGGAAAGAACGAAGAAUAGAAGAGAAAGUUGAGGAACAGAGAGGAAGAAGCGGCUCCUCUUAGUCAGCAAGUCUGGGCGGGGAGAGGCUCUGUGAGAAGCGCUCGCAAGCCUUGGUCUCAGCCCGCAGACACCACCCGAGUGCACGGCCAGGACUUGCAAAGGACUUACCAUGGGAGCCAAGCCUUGAGGCUCCCUGCUGCCCUUCUAAGGAGCAAUGCCCUUAUGGUUUAAGUGAAAAAACAAUUGCCAGUCCCCAAAAUGGUUCUUGUCCUUGAAGGCCAGAGCAGGAGAGCACAGUGUUUCCCACGGGCCACCAUGCCUGCACCCUGAACUCUGCACCCCACCCAGAGCUGCUCCCGACCUUGGCCUCCACAGGACGGCUCUGAAUGUAGCUGUCCUUCACUUAUUUCUCUUUAGAGACAGGGUCUUGCUCUGCUGCCCAGGCUGGAGUGCAGUGGUGCAAUCAUAGCUCACAGUAACCUUCAACUUCUAGGCUCAAGCAAUCCUCCCACUUCAGCUUCCCCAGUAGCUGGGACUACAGGUGUGUACCGCUAGGUGCAGCUAGUUUGUAAAAUUUUUUUGUAGAGACGGGUUCCCAUUAUGUUGCCCAGACUGGUCUCAAACCCCUGGCCUCAAGUGAUCCUCCAGCCUCAGCCUCCCAAAGUGCUUACUCCCAAAGGGAUUACUGGCAUGAGCCACUGUGCCCAGCCUCACCUAUUUCUUAAUUUGCACUAUUAAUGGCCAAGUUAUAGUCCCUUCUGCAAAUGUCAAAUUACAACCUGAAGAAGUACUUUAAGUUAGAAAUGAAAAGUUAGAAUCUGUUCACCCCAUACAAUUAAGAAACCGUGAUGGCUAUCGUGACCUCCCUGGAAAAAAGGGGGUUCUGAGGUUGUAGGUUCAGCCUCAGAGCGAGUUUACCUGGGAACUGCUUUUGUCCACAGAAGAUCACACAAGGGCAUGAAUGGUUUCUCAAAGCCUUCCAACAACACGAGUCCCAAAUGCUGACGAGCAAGAAAUACUGUGCAUUUUUCAUAAAGCUAAACUAGGUCCACUCAAAGGAUGGCCCUGUUUUCAGAGAUGGUGCCUUUCCCAUAUUAAAGAGUAUAACUGUGUCAGUGGUAGAUGGCGAGUUUCUCUUUAUUUAUGUCCAUGCUUGGAAAGACCAGAAUGUUGGCACACCUCUGUUGGCUGCCUGCCAUUCCCCUCCCAUUUUGCAGAAACUUUACUUGUCCAUGAAAUUGAAAAGUCAGAGAACUACUGCCCUAAAAUCCCAAGGUCAAAAUCAACAGAACUGUCUUUUGACAUACACCACACUUCUGACUGCAAGGUUGAUCAUUAAAAUGAAAUCCCACUUUGACAAACUGGGUCGGGCACCCAGAUUUGGGGCACGUAAAGCUUUAGAUCUAGGCUCCUAGCAAAAUAGGCUGAUACAGAAAGGAAUUGUCCCUUGAUGUCUAUUCACCACUCUGCUUGGAGAAACCAUGCACCACUUCCACUUGCUGCUCAGCGAUCUUCUCGGAAGGGCAAAGGGCCAGCCUCCCAGGCCUGCUCACAGACACAUACUGCUUAGAGAACUCGGUGUCGCCCCAGCCCUGCACGGAGAGAGAAAGGGCCUGGACUCCAGCACCUGGCUUUGAUCAGUGAGCUGGAAAACUGGGUAAAUCACUUCAUCUUUCGGACCUGAAUUUCCUCAUCAGUAGUGUAAGAGCUUUGGAGUAGAUGAUCACUUUGAGAACCCUACCAAGUUGAACACUAUCAUUUAAAUGUGAACAUAGUUUAGAGGAAAACACCCUAAGAGACUUUUAACAAGAAGGAGAUGUGCCUCUCAGCUUGGUUUACACGAUGACCACACUCUGCCUGAAUACAGGGGAGGAAGGGCCCGUUGAGAAAAAUCUCCUUUGCCUUGAUGGGCUUGAGGGCCCACGUUUAUUGUAGAUUUGUUUGUGUGGCUCUUUACAAAAGAGGCUCAUUUUCUAAACCUUUUCUUAGCAUACUCUGCUUUCGGCUAAAAGUAACAUUUUCGGCUGGGCACGGUGGCUCACGCCUGUAAUCCCAGCACUUUGGGAGGCCGAGGAGGGCAGAUCACAAGACCUUGUGAGAUCGAGACCAUCCUGGCAAACACGGUGAAACCCCGUCUCUACUAAACAUACAAAAAAAUUAGCCGGGCAUGGUGGCGGGUGCCUGUAGUCCCAGAUAUUUGGGAGGCUGAGGCAGGAGAAUGGCGUGAACCCAGGAGGCAGAGCUUGCAGUGAGCCGAGAUCGCGCCACUGCACUCCAGCCUGGGAGACAGAGUGAAACUCAGUCUCAAAAAAAAAAAAUAAAAAAAGUAACAUUUUAUAUGCUGCCUCAAUGCUUAGACCAGAAAACAGAGCAAGAAAAAUACUGCCUCAUGCAUGAAAACAGAAGGGGGAAAUUCAUAUGGUUUUCUGUUUCUCUGUCGGGGCACAUAUGUGCAUCGGUGCAGAACCUCGAUAACUUAGAAUCUUGUUGUUAAAAAGCUUCAGGCCUCAGACCAUCUCCAUCAAAGCCAUCUGCAUCAGAAGCAGUUUGCUGGAAGUACACAUUUCUAGGUUCUACCUCUAACCUGCAGAGACAGAAUCACUGGGGUUCGGGCCUGGGAAUCUGCACAACUCAUGCUCUAAUGACAAGGUAAAUGAGUCCAUACAUACAAUUUGUAAUUUGUGUAUUUGUAAGGGGAUACCAGAGAGCAAUGCCCAUAACCUACAUAGGAAAGAGGCCCACAUGCCAGCUCUGUGCAGUGAUGGUAUAAAGGCAUCAUCAGGGAAAAAAGGUAUCAGGAUCUUGAUUCCAAAAACUGAGCAAACUUACAAGAGCUUCUCUGCUAAAGGUGAUGGCAAGUCUUUUGGACUGAAAUUUGUCUAAAGGAGGCAAAUUUAGCUUAUCCAUCAUACUAGAGUCUGUUAAGAGUCUUGUGGACUAAAAUCCUAACACAUUCCCAAGUGUAGGUAGGGUUAAAGUUCUUAUUCAGCUGCAGAGGACAUCCUGCAAAGCUCUGGGUAAUUCUCUCCUUUGAGAAACAGAGAAAAACAGAACCCAUGAGAGCCAGCCCGCAUUUAUGGAGUUUGAGGAAAAGGUCAUCAGAAUCCUAUAGAAUAUAUCUGAUUCUAGGGAAUGACUUGUUUGGGUUUAAAACAUAUGGUGAAUCAGAAAUAAUUUUUUACUGGUUAAUGAGACCUGGCCAUAAAAAUGCUUUUCUCACCAAGGGGAAGCUAAGCUUCGCUCCUUCAUAAGAUCCAGUAGUUAUGAGACUCCCUUCCUUGCAUAUGCCUUUGGAGGAGAGAAACCAAUGAAAGCAAAGGCCUUGCUCAGAGAAAGGACAGAACAAGUAGGGGGACCCUGGAGAACUGGACCACAGACAGGAACAGGACAGGGGGCACCACAGCAGGUUCGAACCCAGCCAAGACCAAGGUGGAUCCUUGUAGGGCUUUAUCCUGCUUAUUCUGGAGAUGCUUUGAGAUCAGAUUGACAACCAAAUUGUUGAUCCAGAAGCAAUCAAGACCAUGUCCAUUGCUGCGGAGAACAUCCACCCCACAAGCACAUCCUGCCUUAGGACCAGAGGCAGGAAAAUACGAGCAGGGGCGAUUGGGGCCAUUACUUCUCCCUUGGUCCACUACACCUAGAGAAUAGCUUCAUUGUGUGUGUGUGAACCCUCCUUAAAAAAUAUUUUGUCAUGUUCUUCAUUGCCAAGAGAGGGUCAGCUCCAGACUCACUAAUAACUGGCUCUGUGAGAUCUCGCCCACCGGAGAAAGGCCUGCUACCACACAACACAGCCACACGGCGCACCCACAGCUGCAACGUGAAGGGACCCCUGGCACCCA